rnacentral:rRNA from 30 species
GUUGACCUCGGAUCAGGUAGGAAGACCCGCUGAACUUAA